rnacentral:rRNA from 1 species
AACGAACGCUGGCGGCAGGCUUAACACAUGCAAGUCGGACGCACCGCAAGGUGAGUGGCAGACGGGUGAGUAACACGUGGGGAUCUGCCCAAUGGUACGGAAUAGCUCCGGGAAACUGGAAUUAAUACCGUAUGUGCCCGCAAGGGGAAAGAUUUAUCGCCAUUGGAUGAACCCGCGUCGGAUUAGCUAGUUGGUGGGGUAAAGGCCCACCAAGGCGACGAUCCGUAGCUGGUCUGAGAGGAUGAUCAGCCACACUGGGACUGAGACACGGCCCAGACUCCUACGGGAGGCAGCAGUGGGGAAUAUUGGACAAUGGGCGCAAGCCUGAUCCAGCCAUGCCGCGUGAGUGAUGAAGGCCUUAGGGUUGUAAAGCUCUUUCGCCGACGAAGAUAAUGACGGUAGUCGGAGAAGAAGCCCCGGCUAACUUCGUGCCAGCCGCCGCAGUAAGAC